CCUCUCUCUCUCUGUCUGUCUCUCUCUCUCUCUCUGUGUGUGUGUGUGUGUGUGUGUGUGUGUGAGAGAGAGAGAGAGAGAGAGAGAGAGAGAGAGA